rnacentral:rRNA from 1 species
UACAGAGGUCCCAAGCGUUGUUCGGAUUCAUUGGGCGUAAAGGGUGCGUAGGUGGCGCCGUAAGUCAGGUGUGAAAUCUCGGGGCUUAACUCCGAAACUGCAUUCGAUACUGCCGUGCUUGAGGACUGGAGAGGAGACUGGAAUUUACGGUGUAGCGGUGAAAUGCGUAGAUAUCGUAAGGAAGACCAGUGGCGAAGGCGGGUCUCUGGACAGUUCCUGACGCUGAGGCACGAAGGUCAGGGGAGCAAACGGG